CCGACAGCAAUAUGAAGGCCAGGCUGAAGACUUUGCCGGAUUAGCUGAGAGGUGGUGCAUGGCCGUCGUCAGUUCGUACUGUGAAGCAUCCUGUUAAGUCAGGCAACGAGCGAGACCCACGCCCACAGUUGCCAGCGUACUCUCCGGAGUGACGGGUACACUGUGGGGACCGCCGCUGCUAAAGCGGAGGAAGGAAUGGGCAACGGUAGGUCAGUAUGCCCCGAAUAUCCCGGGCUACACGCGAGCUACAAUGGUUGGUACAAUGGGUAUCUACCCCGAAAGGGGACGGGAAUCUCCUAAAACCAAUCUUAGUUCGGAUUGAGGGCUGCAACUCGCCCUCAUGAAGCUGGAAUCCGUAGUAAUCGCGUUUCAACAGAACACGGUGAAUACGUCCCUGCUCCUU
rnacentral:rRNA from 1 species